rnacentral:lncRNA from 1 species
UCCCAGGGAAGCCUUCCAAUAUUGCUGCUGGCUGGGAGUAAGUGGUCACCUGGCUGGAGGAGACGCACAUGUGUUAGGCCAAGAGUGAGCCUGCGUGACCAUGCACUGAGUGGACAGUGGCCGCUGUGCUGGGGCAGUUGAAGAUGGGGCCAUUCCUGAGUAAGUCCGGUCCCAAACCCAUCCUCCCCGGUGGGAAAGGGCCAGGGAGGCAAGGGUCACGCCCAGCAGCCUACAGGGAGGGGUUCAGCCCCAGAAGAGCCUUGCCCCAUCCCACCCCACCUGGCCUCCCACUACA